rnacentral:lncRNA from 1 species
ACGCCGGAAGAUACGAUGGAAUCCCCCCCGAGAAGAUUGGGAACAAGAAAACUACAGAGCUAAUUGGAGGAUUCAUACCUUAUGAACAAACUCUCUUCGACACCAUUGCUAGCAUCCGUGAACGAGGUUUUCUGCCAUGAAAAUGAACUUAAGGACUAUUGCUAUAGAUCUGUAUGAAAACGAAAAUGAAUGAAUGUGCAUAUUGGUUUGCAAAAGAUAAAGACUCUCAACUCCACUUUAGGAGUGAAGUUAACGCACUUAACCUUCUUUCUCUUAAGUUCCUGCUUCCUCAAAGAGAACGCAGCUCUUAUAUUUUGCUCUUGUUAUGGAAUUGUCCAAGUGAGUUGGAUGCCCUAGUGGAGUGCGACGUGUUAGUGUUCGGAGGAUGUAAAAAUAAGAGAAGAUUGAAAAUUGAACCCUCCCUUGCUGCUACCGUCGCACCAGCCAUUCUAACCUGAAAUUAGUAUAGUAGCUGAAGAGCAUAUUGCUACUUUACAAAAACUCCACCAACAUGUCUCAUUUAGCCACAAUAAAUAAGGUAAAUAGCACGCUUAAUAGCGUCCCCAUCUAUCUAUAAAAAAUCAAUUAAGUUAAACAGUAGCCUAGAGACCGGCGCCACAGUGCUCCAGUUGCGACGCCACAGCGCUCCAGGAUGCUUCCUCAGAAGGCAAGCGGAAAUUCUUGAAGACUUGAUAGAGUGUAUAAAUACACAGCAGCGCAAGCUAGAGCAAAUAAGUAGCAAAAAGAGCAAAGAGCAUGGCAAUGGAAGAAAGCAAGAAGGUCGUGUGUGUGACUGGAGCCGGGGGUUUCAUUGCCUCUUGGAUUGUAAAGCAGCUUCUGGAGAAAGGCUAUACUGUUCACGGCACCGUGCGCGACCCAAGUAAGCAUAGACUUCUCCCUUUUACCUUUGAUCCAUAGCCGAAAUCUGAAUGACCCAAUCAUCAGGUAACAAUGCGAAGUGUGGACAUCUCAAGCAGCUCCCAGGAGCUGGGGAGAGGCUCAAGCUGUUCAAAGCCGAUGUUCUCGACUACGAUUCCAUUGUCCCGGCAGUCCGGGGCUGUGAGGCCGUCUUCCACACAGCCUGCCCCUUCUUCUGGAAGUUUGACACCCCAGAUGUAAGAAUCUAGCUGGUUUUGCUCGUGGGCGAUGAGAAAUUUCGAGUUUUGUUUUCUGUCAGGAUGUGUUGGUCCCGGCAAUCACUGGAACGGAGAAUGUGAUGCGUGCUUGCAGCGAGGAGAAGAUCAAGCGAGUGGUGAUGACUUCCUCCGGCGCAGCGGUCAUGUUUGACCCCGAUCGUCCCGAGGACAAGGUGGUUGAUGAGCGCUGCUGGACGAACGUUGACCACUGCCGCAAAAACGAGGCAAGUAAAUGGGACUUGCUUUGGACUUAAUUUAACUCUUGACUCUUGUGCGUUGGACUUCGUUUUGCAGCGGUGGUACUUGGUUGCCAAGACCGAGGCGGAGAAGACAGCAUGGAAGUUUGCCGAAGAGAAAGGGCUCAAACUUCUCGUGGUGUGCCCGGUUUACGUGUUUGGUCCUCUCUUGCAACAAACCCUCAACACUAGCAGCGAAUAUCUCAAGGAAGUUGUAGAAGGUUUGACUGUUGUUUCCUUGGUUUUCUCGCACAGACAUUUAUCUUGUUUGUGAUAAUCUAGGUUCCCGGAAUCCUUCGCCAAGUUCUUACAUUCCUCUCGUGGACGUGAGAGAUGUUGCAAAAGCUCACAUUUUGGCAGUCGAGAACGAGGCUGCUUUGGGGCGCUACUUUUGCGUUGCACUGAGCGUUUCCCACAGAGACGUCCUGAAAUUGGUCAAGGAAAAGUUCCCUGAGCUUCGCUGCUGUGCCCACGAGUGAGUUUACUUUCAUUCCUUUUUGUUCAGUUUUGUUCAAAGCGUAAUGAGAUUUGUAUGGGUAGGGGUGUUUCUGAAACGAGCAUUGGAAUUCCUCAUGCCGGAAGAUACGAUGGAAUCCCCCCCGAGAAGAUUGGGAACAAGAAAACUACAGAGCUAAUUGGAGGAUUCAUACCUUAUGAACAAACUCUCUUCGACACCAUUGCUAGCAUCCGUGAACGAGGUUUUCUGCCAUGAAAAUGAAAGAACUCAAGGACUAUUGCUAUAGAUCUGUAUGAAAACGAAAAUGAAUGAAUGUGCGUAUUGGUUUGCAAAUUAUAAAGACUCUCAACUCCACUUUACGCACUUAACCUGCUUUCUCUUAAGUU